GGAGAGGUGGCAGAGUGGUCGAAUGCGCCAGUUUCGAAAACUGGUAUGGGGGAAACCUCAUCGGGAGUUCGAAUCUCCCCCUCUCCG
rnacentral:tRNA from 1 species